rnacentral:rRNA from 1 species
GUAGUCCACGCCGUAAACGUUGGGCGCUAGGUGUGGGGAACCUUCCACGUUCUCCGUGCCGCAGCUAACGCAUUAAGCGCCCCGCCUGGGGAGUACGGCCGCAAGGCUAAAACUCAAAGGAAUUGACGGGGGCCCGCACAAGCGGCGGAGCAUGUGGCUUAAUUCGACGCAACGCGAAGAACCUUACCAAGGCUUGACAUAUACCGAAAACUCAUAGAGAUAUGGGGUCCGCAAGGGCGGUAUACAGGUGGUGCAUGGUUGUCGUCAGCUCGUGUCGUGAGAUGUUGGGUUAAGUCCCGCAACGAGCGCAACCCUCGUCCUAUGUUGCCAGCGAGUAAUGUCGGGGACUCAUAGGAGACUGCCGGGGUCAACUCGGAG